rnacentral:rRNA from 1 species
GAUGAACGCUGGCGGCGUGCCUAAUACAUGCAAGUCGAGCGAACAGACGAGGAUCUUGCUCCUCUGACGUUAGCGGCGCAUGGGUGCGUAACACGUGGAUAACCUACCUAUAAGACUGGGAUAACUUCGGGAAACCGGAGCUAAUACCGGAUAAUAUAUUGAACCGCAUGGUGCAAUAGUGAAAGACGGUUUUGCUGUCACUUCUAGAUGGAUCCGCGCCGCGUUAGCUAGUUGGUACGGUAACGGCUUACCAAGGCAACGAUGCGUAGCCGACCCGAGAGAGUGAUCGGCCACACUGGAAGUGAGACACGGUCCAGACUGCUACGGGAGGCAGCAGUAGGGAAUCUUCCGCGAUGGGCGAAAGCAUUACGGAGCAACGCGGCGUGAGUGAUGAAGGUCUUCGGAUCGUAAAACACUGUUAUUAGGGAAGAACAAAUGUGUAAGUAACUAUGCAAGUCUUGACGGUACCUAAUCAGAAAGCCACGGCUAACUACGUG